UACAUGAAGCCUGGAAUCGCUAGUAAUCGCAGGUCAGCAUACUGCGGUGAAUACGUUCCCGGGUCUUGUACACACCGCCCGUCACACCAUGGGAGCCGGAAAUGCCCGAAGCCAGUGACCCAACCCUUAGGGAGGGAGCUGUCGAAGGUGGAGCCGGUAACUGGGGUGAAGUCGUAACAAGGUACC
rnacentral:rRNA from 1 species